CGGACAUCGCUCAUGGCCCUCUGCUUCAUUACCCGCUUUUGCCCCACUCCCUCUCUCACCUUGAAGGCUCACACCCCAAGGUCAUCUGCACAGGCUUGUAUCCAUGUGACCUGCUUGUGAUGCCUCCACUGACCCAGGUGCAGUGUCAGGGUCACACACGGGAUUUAGCUCCUCACCCCACCUGCACAGCGUCGAGGAGGCUGUGCCGACCUCGCCCCAGAACAGGCAAACAGCUGCUCUGUUACUCGAUGUGAAUUUGUUUCCCUGGGGAAAACCCAGAUUCUGCUCCCCCAAGGUGUGCACAAAGGUCUGGGCUAUUUGGUUCGUGCCGACAGGCCCAGGGUCCCACUCUGUCCCCUUGCUGGUCUCUGGCAGACCGUGAGAGAAAGGCUGAACAGAUUUCUUUCCCCCCAGUACCUCCGCACCCUGCCGCCCGGGGGCCGGUGCUUCGGAGAAGGGCCCUUUGCCUCCACGACUCCCAGGUAUCUCAUCCAAACCGGCAUUGCCAAGAUCCCCAGGCCCCCGAAGAGGUCUGACUGGCCAGAAGUCCUGGGGGAGAUGGUCCUGCUGCUGGGGUUCUGCCUGCUUCUGUUGAUUCAGUGUCACAGCCUGAGCUGGGCCCGGAAGGCCACUCCCAACCCCACCUUCCGGAAGCAUCAGCAAGGAUACAACCUGGAUGCCUACACCUCCCCAAGGCCUGGGAUGACGUCAGUGAGGAGAGGU
rnacentral:lncRNA from 1 species